CGAAAUCACAUCUAAGAAGGUUCUCUACUCGCAUCUAAGGCUUCACAUCUUCAUAAUUCGCCAAUUACCAGAACUUCCACGGAGAAAACCGUCAGAGGUAAUGCUGUGUUGCUGCCAAGUGAGAGUAUCUUCUUCAAAGAUUAUUGAGUUUAAAGAUUGAACUCUAGAUUCUUUUUUUUUUCUUUUUGGUUCUUUUUAAGUAAGAUUGUCAACAAAGUAAGUAAGGGACAAAACUGAUAAUACUGAAUUUCUCAUUUCUAUAGAAUGGAGAAAAAGACGUUCUGACUUUAUUUGUGUAGAUAACUUACACGAGUCACAACUAAACACAACAUGUCAAAAUGUUGUCAAAGACAUUAAUCUUUUUGUAUCUUACAAGCUAGAUAUAGGCAUAGAACAAUGUAUCAUCCAUCAUGUUUCAAAUUAGCUCGAAGCGCAACCAUUAAACAAUGUCUCAUCAUGUUUCAGAUUUGUUU
rnacentral:lncRNA from 1 species